rnacentral:rRNA from 1 species
AGGAUGAACGCUAGCGGCAGGCUUAAUACAUGCAAGUCGUGGGGCAGCAGGUCCGUCGUAAGACGGACGCUGGCGACCGGCAAACGGGUGCGGAACACGUACGCAACCUUCCUUUAACUGGAGAAUAGCCCCUCGAAAGAGGGAUUAAUACUCCGUAACAUAAUGAUGAGGCAUCUCUUUAUUAUUAUAGCUCCGGCGGUUAAAGAUGGGCGUGCGCCUGAUUAGAUAGUUGGCGGGGUAACGGCCCACCAAGUCUGCGAUCAGUAACUGGUGUGAGAGCACGACCAGUCACACGGGCACUGAGACACGGGCCCGACUCCUACGGGAGGCAGCAGUAAGGAAUAUUGGUCAAUGGACGCAAGUCUGAACCAGCCAUGCCGCGUGGAGGAUUAAGGCCCUCGUGGUUGUAAACUCCUUUUUAUCUGGAAGAAUCCAUGAAUUUCUUCGUGUUGACGUACCAGAGAAUAAGCACCGGCUAACUCCGCGCCAGCAGCCGCGGUAAUC